rnacentral:rRNA from 1 species
UACGUAGGGCGCAAGCGUUGUCCGGAAUUAUUGGGCGUAAAGAGCUCGUAGGCGGCUUGUCACGUCGGGUGUGAAAGCCCGGGGCUUAACCCCGGGUCUGCAUUCGAUACGGGCUAGCUAGAGUGUGGUAGGGGAGAUCGGAAUUCCUGGUGUAGCGGUGAAAUGCGCAGAUAUCAGGAAGAACACCUAUGGCGAAGGCAGCUCUCUGGGACGGUACUGACGCUGAGACGCGAAAGCCAGGGGAGCAAACGGG